GAUGAACGCUGGCGGCGUGCCUAAUACAUGCAAGUCGAGCGAACAGACGAGGAGCUUGCUCCUCUGACGUUAGCGGCGGACGGGUGAGUAACACGUGGAUAACCUACCUAUAAGACUGGGAUAACUUCGGGAAACCGGAGCUAAUACCGGAUAAUAUAUUGAACCGCAUGGUUCAAUAGUGAAAGACGGUUUUGCUGUCACCUAUAGAUGGAUCCGCGCCGCAUUAGCUAGUUGGUAAGGUAACGGCUUACCAAGGCAACGAUGCGUAGCCGACCUGAGAGGGUGAUCGGCCACACUGGAACUGAGACACGGUACAGACUCCUACGGGAGGCAGCAGUAGGGAAUCUGCCGCAAUGGGCGAAAGCCUGACGGAGCAACGCCGCGUGAGUGAUGAAGGUCUUCGGAUCGUAAAACUCUGUUAUUAGGGAAGAACAAAUGUGUAAGUAACUAUGCACGUCUGGACGGUACCUAAUCAGAAAGCCACGGCUAACUACGUG
rnacentral:rRNA from 1 species